rnacentral:rRNA from 1 species
AGAGUUUGAUCCUGGCUCAGAACGAACGCUGGCGGCGUGCCUAACACAUGCAAGUCGAACGAGAAAGGGGCUUCGGCUCCGAGUAAAGUGGCGCACGGGUGAGUAACACGUGGGUAACCUGCCUCUAAGAUUGGGAUAACUCGUCGAAAGAUGAGCUAAUACCGGAUAAGACCACAGUUUCUGCGGGAACAGCGGUCAAAGGUAGCCUCUGCUUGCAAGCUAUCACUUAGAGAUGGGCCUGCGCACCAUUAGCUAGUUGGUAGGGUAACGGCCUACCAAGGCAAAGAUGGUUAGCUGGUCUGAGAGGAUGAUCAGCCACACUGGAACUGAGACACGGUCCAGACUCCUACGGGAGGCAGCAGUGGGGAAUAUUGCGCAAUGGGCGAAAGCCUGACGCAGCAACGCCGCGUGAGUGAUGAAGGCCUUCGGGUCGUAAAGCUCUGUCGGGAGGAACGAAUGCUCCUGAGGUUAACAGCCUCGGGAAGUGACGGUACCUUCAAGGAAGCACCGGCUAACUCUGUGCCAGCAGCCGCGGUA